rnacentral:rRNA from 1 species
ACAUCAAGUCUGCUGUUAAAGGCUGGAGCUUAACUCCGGUAGAGCAGUGGAAACUGGUGUGCUAGAGGGCGACAGGGGUAGAGGGAAUUCCCAGUGUAGCGGUGAAAUGCGUAGAGAUUGGGAAGAACACCGGUGGCGAAAGCGCUCUACUGGGUCGCACCUGACCCUCAGGGACGAAAGCUAAGGUAGCGAAAGGGAUUAGAUACCCCUGUAGUCUUAGCCGUAAACGAUGGAUACUAGGCGUGGUUUGUAUCGACCCAAGCCGUGCCGAAGCUAACGCGUUAAGUAUCCCGCCUGGGGAGUACGCACGCAAGUGUGAAACUCAAAGGAAUUGACGGGGGCCCGCACAAGCGGUGGAGGAUGUGGUUUAAUUCGAUGCAACGCGAAGAACCUUACCAGGGCUUGACAUCCCGCGAAUCCCCAUGAAAGUGGGGAGUGCCUUCGGGAGCGCGGAGACAGGUGGUGCAUGGCUGUCGUCAGCUCGUGUCGUGAGAUGUUGGGUUAAGUCCCGCAACGAGCGCAACCCUCGUCCUUAGUUGCCAGCAUUAAGUUGGGCACUCUAGGGAGACUGCCGGUGACAAACCGGAGGAAGGUGAGGAUGACGUCAAGUCAGCAUGCCCCUUAUGCUCUGGGCAACACACGUCCUACAAUGGUCGGGACAAAGGGGAGCGAGCUCGCGAGAGUCAGCGAAUCCCAGCAAACUCGGCCUCAGUUCAGAUGGCAGGC